UUACUUUUUUGUUUCCUCCGUUAAGUUACCGUAAGUAUCUAUUUAUAUUUAGGAAAACAAUAGCGUUACGUACAACCGGGCUGCGAACCCGUUGGGGAACCGGCUAAUGCCACGUCAGAUUAUAUUAAAAAAAAAAAAAAGCAAAACCCAACACAGACAAAAUGGAAAGGAGGGAAGAACUUAGAUUUCAAAGCCAAAGUUUUCGAUUUGGAGAAGACCUUGCAAUCGCAGAUGUUGAAGAAGAUGAGUGUCAUUUCCAGUUCACCUUCCUAACCCCUCUCUCUCUCUCUCUCUCUGAAGAAAACAUUACACGCUCGGCUCGUCAACAACUAGAUCUGCUCGUCUUCGCGUGAACUAGUAGAUCUCUCUGUUCAUCGACUUCAUGUGGGUAUCUCCGUGGUUAACUUCAGUCUACUUUAUCUGCAACUCCUCACAAAGCAUCACCAGCAAUUCCAAGAGUUAGUAGACCAAGCAGGGGAGUAGUCAUUAAAUCAUCCUGCUUCAUGACACUCUGAUUAGUCGUUAAAUCACUCCAAUUGGUGGAAGCCUUGUAUCUUCGACUUAGAAUUUUGCAGUUGACUAUUAGUUGCAGUUGAAUAGUCAUUACUCUGUGUAUGUAGUGGUCGGAUUGUAUUUGAUUCUAAGAAACCAAAUUAAUGAAGUAUUGUAGUUGGGAUAUUCAUUCGUUUGGGAAUAUUUGAAACAUUAAAAAACCAAGUGUUCAUGCUUGA